GCGGACGUAGCUCAGUUGGUAGAGCGCAACCUUGCCAAGGUUGAGGUCGCGAGUUCGAGCCUCGUCGUCCGCN
rnacentral:tRNA from 1 species